rnacentral:rRNA from 1 species
GCCAGUGGUGAUGGCCCGUUGAAUACACCUGUUCCCAGUGGAGCACCGAAUUAAGGCAACGUUGCACAUGGUUGGUACCCGGUUAGGUGACCAUCUGGGAAAUCGCUUGCUGGCU